rnacentral:misc_RNA from 1 species
GCAAACUUGGUCAUUUAGAGGAAGUAAAAGUCGUAACAAGGUUUCCGUAGGUGAACCUGCGGAAGGAUCAUUACAAAUCCAUCACGUCAUCCUCAUGACAAUGUUGAACUGUUCCCCCCUUUUUAUGCAUGCAGCAGCAAGCAGUGUCAUCAUCCGCGCUCUCCCCUAUAUACUCGGGGGGUCGUGAUGAUGGUGCGCUCUGCUGUUGUUGCUGCAUAUGAGGAAACACCCUCUUUCAAACCAGUGUGACCCACAACUUUCACGAGCGAUGGCUCUCUAAACACAUACCAACACAACGAAACCUAGAAACAACUUAUAACAAUGGAUCUCUAGGCUCUUGCAUCGAUGAAGAACGCAGC